rnacentral:rRNA from 1 species
UACGUAGGGGGCAAGCGUUGUCCGGAUUUAUUGGGCGUAAAGAGCGUGUAGGCGGCCUGACAGGUCUGCUGUGAAAACUCGAGGCUCAACCUCGAGAUGUCGGCGGAAACCGUCUGGCUAGAGUCCGGAAGAGGAGAGUGGAAUUCCUGGUGUAGCGGUGAAAUGCGUAGAUAUCAGGAAGAACACCUAUGGCGAAGGCAGCUCUCUGGGACGGUACUGACGCUGAGACGCGAAAGCGUGGGGAGCGAACAGG